UACGAAGGGGACUAGCGUUGUUCGGAAUCACUGGGCGUAAAGCGCACGUAGGCGGAUUUGUAAGUCAGGGGUGAAAUCCCGGGGCUCAACCUCGGAACUGCCUUUGAUACUGCGGAUCUCGAGUUCGAUAGAGGUGGGUGGAAUUCCUAGUGUAGAGGUGAAAUUCGUAGAUAUUAGGAAGAACACCGGUGGCGAAGGCGGCCCACUGGAUCGGUACUGACGCUGAGGUGCGAAAGCGUGGGGAGCAAACAGG
rnacentral:rRNA from 1 species